GCUGUCUCAGCUACACAACGGCAUAGAGCGGCCUAUUGCUUUUGCCUCCCGAGCUCUUAAUUUAGCAGAGCAGAAGUACUCCGUGGGGGAGAGAGAGGCAUAUGUAUGUGUAUGGCCGUUCAUUCACAUUACGGACGGACCACCAAGCGCUUACAGCCCUGCUUGCCACAUCUGGUUCUGGGCACAGGCCUCUGCGCAUCCACCGCUGGUAUGAGAGACUUCACCAGUACAAUUUCACACUGCAGUUCACACCGGGGCGAGAGAAUGUGGUGGCGGACUUACUGUCACGCUCCAUGCCACCUCCAGCUGUGGAGCCGACUCCAGACAACAGCGACCUGGACCUCAUUCAGCUCCUCCACUCCCCUCUUGAGACAAUAGUGUCACUUCAAGAGCUCCAACAGGCCUCCGAACAGGACCCAGUGUUCUCACAGCUCCGCACUUUCAUCCACUCCGGGUGGCCUCCAGCCUCUGGCCUACCAGACAGUCUGGCGCCUUUCCGCCGCUUUAAAGAUGAACCUUUUUGCUGGAGCGACCACUGCGUUGCAAGGGGCCAUCGCACAAUCAUACCCUCCGCCUUACAGUCACGUGUCCUGUCCAUGGCCCAUGAAGGCCACCUCGGCAUUGUCAAGGUCAAACAGCGCUGCCGGGAAGUGGUCUGGUGGCCAGGAAUAGAUGGCGAUGUGGAGGCUAUGGUGAGAGACUGCACAGCCUGCCUGGUGAGUGGAAAGACCGGCCCCCCACCAGCUCCUCCCCUUCAGCCACUGCAGUGGCCAGCUGGGCCUUGGGAGCACAUCCAGAUGGACAUUUGUGGUGAGCUCCGUGGCGUCCCACAUCACCAACGAUUCCUCAUCGUUGCCUAUGACCUGUACUCUAAGUGGCCUGAGGCAGUCUCUACAGGGUAGGUCACCACACAGGCGGUCAUUGACUUUCUGGAGGUGCUUUUUGCUCGUUGGGGCAUGCCCACGACAAUCACCACAGCCAAUGGGCCGCAAUUCAUCUCUGCCAAGUUCACGACUUUUCUGAGUGAGCGGGGGAUCAGACACAUACGCACAGCCUUUUAUAACCCUCAGGCGAAGGGGGGUGUGGAGCGCAUGAACCAGACGCUGAAAAAUGGUAUCAGAGCUCACUUAGCAGAGG
rnacentral:lncRNA from 1 species